CUUUGAUUCCUCUGGCUCUGAAAUGUAUCUGUUUCUCCGGGUUGUCAGUUUCUUUAUGUUUCCUGAGAUUUAGAGGGUAGGCCUAUUCUUAAUGCUCUAAUAAUAGAAUUAAGCACUGAAAUCAAGAGCUGUAGAUUGACCAUGCUCACAUUCAUGGAAAUUAAGGAAGGAGGAAUGGCUUCAAUCAAUUUCAUUGUUAAUGUCUCAGGGAAUUCCUGAGUGUAGCUAUUACUGUUAGCUUGGUUAGCUAGGCGGUUUGCCAUUCAUGAAAUUUAAAAUCAGGAGGGCCCCAAACAUCUCUGGGUCCAACUUCCUCCUCUUACACGCAGCCCUAUUCAUUUCUUGUAAGCCUGCCAUGUGGGAGGAGGCUAGUGUGCUAGAGGGAACCAGAGAGUUGAAUAACUUGUGGCUCAUGGCUUCAAACAAACUCAUCUGCGACUUCCUUUCCUGUGUUAUUUGAAGGACACAUUUUAACAAGAGAUAAGUGCUCAUUGUUACUCUCUGUCAGUGGAUGAUGUUAGGAGUUAAUGUAUAUUCUGUGAGCUCUGGAUCACAUAAGAGUAGAUGAUACAUGUUUUUGUUUAGGUUACUGCUGGAUGGUGUUUGCCAUCCAUCCCAAGACAGAAUUCUGCUCUUAGACAAAUUCUGUCUUUUCCAAGACAAGCUGACAUUACCUGUAUCAAUGUGAUUCCCCAGAAAGGACACUUGAGGGCUCAAGUUCUUCACAUUUUCCCGUGGAACUGUUAGAUUUCCCAAAGAACAUAGUUCUCAUGGAACUCUUCUAUCCAUUCGAGCAUCUUCUAGACAUUGACUUCUGGUGUUUCCCUUAAAAAAAUAAGCAGAAUUUAAUGGUUGAUGUUUUUGUGAAUAGAUCAUUGCCAAUAAGUAUUUACUUACCCGAUUUGUGGUUGAAAACACAAGGUAUACAGCAUACAUGCUUAAGAAAGGUCAUAGUGCCUAGAACUGUACUCUCAGUAAUGAUGGUGGCUGGCUUGCUGAGGAUUUAAGAUGUGUGGGUCAUUGUACUAAUCACUUAAUCCUCACAGUAAGCUGAGAUCGCUGGUCAUUAUCUCCACUUCACAGAUAAGGUAACUGGGUUAGCAGUUUGCCCAAGGUCACGGAGCCAGGAAGGGCUGGGCCUAUGACUCAUCUUGAC
rnacentral:lncRNA from 1 species